rfam:Triticum aestivum genome assembly, contig: Triticum_aestivum_CS42_TGACv1_scaffold_404550_5BL
GUUGGGGACGUAUCAACAUCAGAUAAAAUUGGAACGACACAGAGAAGAUUAGCAUGGCCCUUGCACAAGGAUGACACGCACAAAUCGAGAAAUGGUCAAUUUUAUU